ensembl:snoRNA
GCGCUGCCUUUGAGCCCCUGCUGUGCCUGCCCAGGCACAUGGGGGGGGAGGGUUUGGGGGGUUGUCAGCCGACAGCUCCAGAGCGCAUGCUUGCGCAUAACUGAGGCCCUCUGUUCCCCUUUAAACCACAAACAAGGCAG